UGUUACCAGAACGUGUGUUUUCAUGAUGAUCCGUUGAAAGUUGUCUUGACGAUGCUAAUUCUGGCCAUGUGUCGAAGUUUAUAUACCCAAGCGCCUGACGGCAGCUCUGUUACUAAUCGAUUGCACAAAUAGGGAAGAGAUUUAAAGCCGUUCUACUGAAGUUCUAUUGGUUGUUCUCUUUUUGCAGGUAGGUUCGAGGUUUUCAGGGUCGAGACCUACAUCAACAUAGGCGCAGAAAAGUUCAUUCCCCCCGUUUACAGGUAACUUUCUAAAAGUUACGCUUUCUCUUCCGUAUAUUUCAGCUGUAGCUGAAAAAUCUUCCGAUUUUAACAGAAAAUGAGGGUUGCUAGCCUACUUUCCUGGUGAUGCCUCAUACAGAAAGAUUUAAAUGAGAACGAAUGCAGUGUUUUUGCAUAAAACAGGUUCGAUUUCAAAAGCAUGAGUGAAGAAUAUCGUUGAAAUGGCUGCAGUGUCCUGUUAUGUGAAAUUGCGAUUUUGCGUUGCAAACCAGCGAUGUUUUUGCUGAUGCUACCGGAAGUGCGAAGUUUAGUAAGGACCCCAUGGACGAUAAGGUCUGUAUGGACCCCAAGGCCUGCCAUAAGGUCCCCAUGGUCUUCCGUAUCCAGGACCCCAAGGUCUUCCGUAUCCAGGACGACCGCCGUAAAAGCCGCCAUAUCCUGGACCUCCUAAACUAAUGGAUAGACGCUGUUGCUCUGUUUCUUGAUCGAACGGGACGGCUCCGGUGCUGCGUGCGGCUAUGAUGGUUGGGACUGCGCCAUCGCUAGACAGGACCCUUUGGCUGACCGCAUCGUCGUCCACCAAGACAAGACCGUCAACGAUCCCUACAGGAACCGCAUGGCGACUUUCACGAACGGCAGGGCUUGCCAGGACAGCGCCCAGGAUAAC